ensembl:lncRNA
AUAGGAUGACUGGCUCUCUAACUAACCUAUAUACAGUUCACCUCACACAAGCACACACACCUGCAAACAAGUAAAACAUACUCCAAUAAGGUUUCCUUUAUUUACAACUUUUACAAAAAUUAUUAUUUAAUGUAUAUGUAUUUUGGUUCAUGCAAUAAUCAAUAGCAUGGAUGCACUGAGAUCUAUAAUGUGUUUUAUUUCUACAUAAAAUACAUAAAUGAUGAACUAAUGAACUUUCAAAUUUUUAAUGGGAAAAAAAAUGUGUCUAUUAAAACUGUACUUCCGUUCACACAGACUCAGUAAGCCAUUUUGAUUAGUAUUGUUGUGACAUGCCAUCAUAUGAUAACAAGGAGGGUAAAUUCUCACUAAAGAUCUGAAUGUUUGUUACCUCAUCAGUCCCAAAGCUGACAUCAAACUGAGGAUCAAGUCCAAAAGUAUCAAGGUUACACACUGUUACACUCCCUGAGAACCACCACCAGAGCCCUGGGACAUGGAAAACAACACAUCUAUUUACUGUAUGUUGUUUGUUUACUCGUUAAUCUGUUUGUUAUUUUCAGACUCUUUUCCUCACCCCUGCCAGGCAGUGGGAUAUUUGGUGAUGCUAUCUGUGUGUGUGUCUGUUUGUUUGUUUACUUGUUUGUGUUUGCAUAAUGACCUUAGGGACCAACAUCACUGGGAAAAACCUUCAUGGUCUAUGAGGGCAUUGCUGGACAAAAGCAAGGACACUGCAAGUGAACAAGAGCCAUGCAGCCCUUCAGACAUAUUACAGUCAAAGACAAAGGAGAGAAGCUGAAGUUAAUUUUUGUGGUAUCAACAUCAACAGUCUUCAGUGUCAGCUGUUACAGUAUAUUAAAAAUAAUCAAUUCAGAGGAUAAAAUAACAGCUAGAAGUAAAUUGAAGUAAAAAGAAUGUUUGGGAUUAUUUAUGUAGGUUUUGUGUCACAAUCUUCACUAGUGAGACUAAGCUAAACUUUAAGGUCACUUAUGACGUGUCAUUGGCCUAAAUUGCAUUUCAACAGGCAGUGGAACAACAGAAACUACACACACACACACACACACAGGCCAACUCAGUUACAGACCACGCAGGCCUUUUCCUGAGGAUGUAGAGCAGCAAGUUUAGUGUGAGUGUGUCUGCAUUUAUUUGAAACUGUAUUUGUGUGGUACUAAACUUAAAAAUCAUUUAACUGCCACGUGGGAGUAAUAUAGUAAAAAAAAAUAUAUAAAAUAAAAAUGAUUACUGUUUACAAACAUACCCCAAGGUCCUAAAUGGCAAAAUAAAUUGAAACAGAACCAACUGCCCUUGAGAUUUCAUGGAGAAAUGGGAGGAAAAAGUCAAAAGAGCUGUUUAGCAGUAUUAAAACUGUACCUCCGAAUAAGACACUAUGGGGACAGCUGCAAGCCACUGUUUAUGCCACAAGACAGUGGCAGUGUAUGCGAUACAAAUUACACCGUUUGAUUGGUGAGGAAGAUCAUUGACACACCAGCAUGUUUUCAUUAAAUCACCAUAAACGAGUUUACAGGCCCAGCUGGCUUUGGUUAGAGGGUGUUAAAUAAAGCAGCGCGGUAUUGUUUACUCCUCUGCUGCCGUGUCUCUCUUUCCUAAGUCUUUCUCCUUACACUCUCUUUUUGUCAACACUGUAUCCAUCCCAUAGACUGCAUAAAAACGAUCCAUCCUCACAUAAAGCACACGGUCGAGCUGUCUUCGGGGAGCGGUAACUGAUCCUAACGGUCCGUGUCAUGUGAGGAACUUCAUCUUGAAUAAAGUUGUCAAAAAAAAAAAAAAAAACGGAUCAGUCGGGAAGGAAAAAAGGAACCGGGAUGAGGCCGCCGUUUAACGAGCUGUUUUAAGGUGCCGCGUUUUUCAAACAGAAAAAAAGGGUUCAAAUCUAGCCUGAGGCCACUAAGGAGCUGACCGACUCGGCCCGGCUCGACGCAGCUGUAGCCCAGCCACAGUGGCUCUGCGAGAGGGCUGAAGUGUCACCUGGCUCCCCUGAGAAUAGCGAGGGGGGUGAUGGGAGAAGCAGAGGGCUGCGGGAUUGUGGGAGGGGGAGAGGAGUUUGCUAAGUUUUCAUUCACUGGAGGUGGGGCCAGCGGCUGUACAUAUGAGGAGAGCUGCCGAUCGUACAAAAGGAGGCGGCGUGUCUGUACAAACACACACACACGCACGCACGCACACAAGUCCUCUGCUCUUUUCCUCGGGUGCGAUCUUGUAUCAAAGCAAACAAAUGAAAUGCUGUCUCCCUCCCGCCUUUUUUUUUUUAUUAUUUUGAUCCGGUAUUCACUAAAAUGACACUUAAUAUCUCAACCGACUGACAUUAUCAAUCUGCAGUAUGCUCAAAUCUUCCGGCCAAACUUGCAGUUCCCAGAGGAAAUCCAGCGGCAUUGUCCUUUGUUUGCGAAGAGAUCCCACAGGAAUCAGCCCUGACUCUUUCACUGCGUGAGGAGAGCUGUCACGCGGGCGGCCUGGCACGCAGGAUGCUGGGUUAGACUAGGUACUGUCAGCCCACUCAGACUCGCGCCUCUUUCAGGAGCUGUUAGACGGCGCAGGCCGUGGCAUUUCCACUCUCAAUGCUGGAUUUGGUUUCAAUAUAAAAUACAUUAGAGUUCUGUCUCCCUGCGCCGGUGUCAAAGAGACAUCUGGAUCUGAUAUGAGGGACCACAACGGGAGCAUUUAUUGUUGGGUUUUACCUAUAGAUAGUGUUGACAUAUUCUUUAUGUUAUACUUUAUCACAGGAGGGCAGAAAAGAAUCUUUUCCAAAUCUGUGACUGUAUCCACAGCAUUGAAUAAAUUAAAGAUUGGAUUAAAAUCGAUACAUUAUUAAUAAGCCCAAACUAACAAGAAAAAUCUGCGUCAUCUUCAUCAUCAACAAUAAUAAUAAUUAUCAUUAUAAUAAUUUGUUUAAUCAUGUUUUUUUUUUUCAACUUACAAUCUAAUAAACACAAUUUCAAACAAAUAAAUGUUUGAAUCUAUAAAUAUUAUGAAAAAACAUAUACAUGCAAUACAGAGUUAUAUAUAAAAUAUAUUUCUAUAAUAAAACAUAUAUUUUAAUAUUUUUUUUCCAUUAUUACAAGGCCAAAUUCAUACAAACAAACCAUAAACAAAUAAAUAUAUAAAAUUGCAUACAUAAAAUUAAAUAAUUAAAUACUUAAUUUUAGAUAAAUAUAAUUAUUUGAUAAAAUAUAGAUUUUCACAUUUCACUCCAUUACUACUAGGCAAGGUCUAGUAAUCCAAAAUUCCAAACAAGCAAACAAAAAAUAAAUAUGAUAUAAUAAUAUACAAUUAUAUAUUAAAUAUAAUUAUAUGAUGAAACAUAUAUUUUGAACCUUCUAGGCCAAAUGUAAUAAUCCAAAAUUACAAACAAAUAAAAUAUUAUAUAACUGUAAAUAUUAUAUAACAUCACCUGAAUACAAUAAAUAAUAGAAUACAUUAUUAUAUCUAAAUUAUAUUUUCAACUUCC